rnacentral:rRNA from 1 species
GAUGAACGCUGGCGGCGUGCCUAAUACAUGCAAGUCGAGCGAACAGAUAAGGAGCUUGCUCCUUUGACGUUAGCGGCGGACGGGUGAGUAACACGUGGGUAACCUACCUAUAAGACUGGAAUAACUCCGGGAAACCGGGGCUAAUGCCGGAUAACAUUUAGAACCGCAUGGUUCUAAAGUGAAAGAUGGUUUUGCUAUCACUUAUAGAUGGACCCGCGCCGUAUUAGCUAGUUGGUAAGGUAACGGCUUACCAAGGCAACGAUACGUAGCCGACCUGAGAGGGUGAUCGGCCACACUGGAACUGAGACACGGUCCAGACGCCUACGGGAGGCAGCAGUAGGGAAUCUUCCGCAAUGGGCGAAAGCCUGACGGAGCAACGCCGCGUGAGUGAUGAAGGUCUUCGGAUCGUAAAACUCUGUUAUUAGGGAAGAACAAAUGUGUAAGUAACUGUGCACGUCUUGACGGUACCUAAUCAGAAAGCCACGGCUAACUACGUG